UAGUAAACAUAACCUAUAUUAGGUAUAAGAAACGUCACGUUUAGUUUUAAUCAGUUUUAAUUAAGUUCAUCAAUAAUUGGUUGUUAUUUGAAAAAGAAUGAAUAAAACUAAAAAUAUUUAUCUGGAUAUUCUCCAAGAAGAAUUUGAGCUACCUAAAGACAACCAAAAAAUUGUAAAAGUAAUUUAUAAAAAUCCAAAUCAUAUUUUUGAUGUUCUCGGUGAAGACGAGAUCGUUUUUAAAGCAAUUUUAAAUUCGCGUUUUCAAAAAACCGUGUGGGUUAAAGUAAAUAAGUUGGUUAUUGUCGAAGAUGUAGGUGGAAAUUUUCCGGAAAUUGUUAAAGUUCCAACGGACAAUUAUAUCAAAUUUUUAAGAAAAAAUAAUGCUAUUCCUUCAAUUUUUGAGGAAAAACUUGAAAAUGAUGGAGAGGAUUUGUUUUGUAUAAACCCAAACCAAAGGACAAUUGUAUAUUCAAGUAGUGAUUCUAGCAGUGAUGAAGAUAAUUAAGUAUAUUUAAAGUUUAGUUUAAGAAUAAAAUAUUUUUUUGUUAUAUAUUUUAUAUAAAAUAAAAAUAAAAGCAACAUUUUAUCAAUACAAAAAGGAAUCUAAACCGCUUGCGUACCAAACUGC
rnacentral:misc_RNA from 1 species